rnacentral:rRNA from 1 species
UACAGGGGGGGCAAGCGUUGUUCGGAAUUACUGGGCGUAAAGGGCGCGUAGGCGGCGCGGUAAGUCACUUGUGAAAUCUCUGAGCUUAACUCAGAACGGCCAAGUGAUACUGCAGUGCUAGAGUGUGGAAGGGGCAAUCGGAAUUCUUGGUGUAGCGGUGAAAUGCGUAGAUAUCAAGAGGAACACCUGAGGUGAAGACGGGUUGCUGGGCCAACACUGACGCUGAGGCGCGAAAGCCAGGGGAGCAAACGGG